UACGGGGGGGGCAAGCGUUGUUCGGAAUUACUGGGCGUAAAGGGCUCGUAGGUGGCCAACUAAGUCAGACGUGAAAUCCCUCAGCUUAACUGGGGAACUGCGUCUGAUACUGGAUGGCUUGAGUUUGGGAGAGGGACGCGGAAUUCCAGGUGUAGCGGUGAAAUGCGUAGAUAUCUGGAGGAACACCGGUGGCGAAGGCGGCAUCCUGGACCAACACUGACGCUGAGGAGCGAAAGCCAGGGGAGCAAACGGG
rnacentral:rRNA from 1 species